CAAAACUCUCGGUCAGUCGUACCCUUCGCUUUGUUUUGCUUUGUAAUUCUCUCUUGGCAUAGAUUCUCUGUUUUGUUCAACUCUGUUUCUCAUAGAGGCAUCGCCGUUUCGCUCUGUUCCUCUAAGGUAGCUUUUGUUCUUUGGAUCUGCUAUAUUAUUUUUAAUUUUAUUUUUUGUUCUUCAGCUCGUCUCAUUUGUUUGGUUUCUUGGAAAAUUGAGUUAGUGGACUCGGAUGAACUUUCCUGGUAGCUGGAGCUCUGUUUUUCUCUCCUUUUUAUUUUCUUUUCCUUUUUAUUAGGCUUUGAAUUAUUUUUUCUGGUGACUUUGAAUUAGAGAGUAUUACAACUUCGCUGUUAAUUUUAGUUUAUUUUCAUCAUAUUCAAACAGGCGUUGAAUUUUAUUUUUAGAUAUGAUAUCAUAUGAAUUUUGUUGUUCAGUGCUGUUGAUGAUUAAUUUUCUUUGCUUUUUAGAGUUUAGCCAAUCGAGUUUCGGAUUGAAGCUUUUGUUAUAUUACUUCUGAUUUGUAAGGACUUUCCUUCCCCCGAAGGUAGCAAAAAUGAAGACUGCCAAGGGUAAAGGAGCAGCGAAGGCCUCAAAGGAAGCUUUGAAGCCUGCUGAUGACAGCGAUUAGCGGAUUGUUAUUGUGAUGGAUCUAUCUCUAUCCUUUUCAGAAAGGUUGGAAAGAGGAAAGCUGUAGCUGUUGCUGAUAAGAGUAUCAAACAAAAAGCUAAGAAGGAGAAAAAGGCGAAGAAAGACCCAAACAAACCAAAGAGGCCUCCUAGUGCUUUCUUUGUCUUCCUUGAGGAGUUUCGAAAGACUUUCAAGAAAGAGAAUCCUAAUGUGACAUCUGUAGCUGCUGUUGGGAAAGCUGGAGGAGAGAAGUGGAAAUCAAUGUCUCCUGCUGAAAAAGCUCCGUAUGAAGCCAAAGCUGCCAAAAAAAAGGAUGAGUAUGGAAAGCUUAUGAAUGCCUACAACAAGAAGCAGGAGAGCACAGCUGAUGACGCUAAUGCAGAGUCAGACAGGUCAAAGUCUGAAGUGAAUGAUGAAGAUGACGAGGCUACUGGAGAGGUUGGCCCACCAAUCUGUUUAUUUGUUUAAUUCUUUUAACAAUGCAUCUCAUUUGCAUGAUUUUUCACAAUGCCCAAGUCGCAUAAUUUUGAUUUACAUACUGUUUUAGAAAGUAUUCUCACUGUUGAACUUUUGCUUGCUUGGAGCUUUCGAGCUCACAAUCAGUAUUGUUAGGAUCUGGCUGAGGUUUGCAUCAAUCGUUCAUCUUCAGUAAUUCAUUUACCAAAUUAAGAAAUGUUAAAUUGGUGUUUCUUCUUGCUUUGUGUGCUUUGUGACAUGGAGCAGAAAAUAAGGAAAAUGUAAGUUGAAAAUUUCUGAGUCGAGUGUGUCAAGUUGGGUAGGACAUCAUCACACAGUCUUGUUAACUAAAUUUUGCAAUCAGUAAUAUCAACAAGUAAAAUUCCUCCAUUUUUUCAUAGCAGGUUAAAGGUGUCAAUAGAUUGGGGAGAAUUUCAUGGCUACAACUCUUAUUUUUUCACUUCAAAAGAGGAAAAGAAAGAAGGAUAUUGCAUUAUUGACAACUUGUUUUGCCCUUCAUUCAACAAUUUGUCUUCUUUUUUGUGUGUAAUUCUGAUGUCAGCAGUCCGCACUAAUUUUAUUGCUUGUUUCUUGUCAGGAAGGGGAAGAGGAAGAGGAAGAGGAAGAAGAUGAUGAUGAUGAUUGAAAUUGGAUGGUUUUGAUUUUGGGCAUCAUGUGAUUUAAAGGAUAGAUUUUUGGAUCUUGUAGAUGCAUAUUGAUAGGUUGUAUUUGGUAUUGUUGAAUUUUAAGCAGGGAAGGAACUUUUCUUUU
rnacentral:misc_RNA from 1 species